UCUCCGUUGGUGAACCAGCGGAGGGAUCAUUACAGGACUCGCAAGACUCCUUCACCCUGUGAACCUCACUACAAGCACGUUGCUUCGGCGGGUGUCCCGGCGGGGGUUUUCCCUCGCCGGGGCGCACAGCCCGCCGGCAGCCUACUAUACUCUGUCUCUUUACGUUGGCAUCUCGAGAAAAAACAAACAAGUUAAAACUUACAACAACGGAUCUCUUGGUUCUG
rnacentral:misc_RNA from 1 species